CGGAAUGAUGAGAAUAAUUUGCGAUUGAUUUCACUCGAUGGUCCUCUUUCGCCGGAGCGGCUAUAUCGUUUGAAUAACUGAUAUUCAUUUCUUACAUAUUCUGACU
rnacentral:snoRNA from 1 species